ensembl:lncRNA
AUGUCCAUAUUAGGAAGUGAUGUUAAUGCAAUCAAUGUUGGGAAUCUGUUGAUCACUUUUUUUUUUGUACUUUUCCAAUGUAUCACCAUCAUUUCACAUGUAAAUAGAUCCAGACUGUUUCCUCCCAUCUCAAGAACGCAGAUACAUGAAUGCGGGAAUUUGCAGGAACUUCUGUGCAGUACAUUUUGUUUGACAUGUUCUUCGAUAGCUUUCGGAAGAAAACUAUUUAUUAAAGCAUUUUAUAACAAAUGUUGCCAGUUGACACUUUUGUUCCCCCUUACUUGGCUCUUUAAAUGUUCAAAAUGGUUUUGGGGCUAUCAUCCCAAUAUCUCCCUUCUCAUUGGUUAUUACUCUACCCCCCCCCAAAAAAAAAAAUCUAAUGCAACUUUGAAUGAGAACCUUUUUUCAAAACAACAACACAUCAUUUGUUGCCCUUGUAUAGCAGUGCCACUGCCUUCCAAAACCUAGUAAAAUGGUUUCACUGGUGUAACAUUUCAAACUGCUUCUCCAAUGCUUUCUGCUUUCCUAGUCCCUUGGACCCUGUGGCCGUUCAGAUUUGGAAAGCAAGAUGUCGAGCUGGCCGUGCUAAUAGCAACUCAAUUCAAAUGUUCAGUCCCAAAAAGACAUGAAUGCACAGGUGCUUGUAACUGCAAAUCACUUGAGGGGGGAAACUGUUCUUUAUUUAAUCCACCCAAAGUGUGUCGACAGUGGAUUCUGAAGGGGGGAAUUCAAUCUGCACCUCCUAAUCUGAUCAUGCAGAACUUUGGGCUAGCACUGCUGCUAUUAUUAUUAUUAUUAUUAUUAUUAUUAUUAUUAUUAUUGCCAGCCCUUUCACUCACCAAACGGCUCUGAUGUUCCAGCACCAAUUUAUGCAGCCUGUAGUUCUUUUGGCCAUUUGCCGUUUUCUGUGUUUGUUUGUGUUCUUUCACCAACCAGGAUAAUUAACCCUCGGGAGAUCAAAUAAUACUUGAGUGAGACUCCUGCUGCAGAAUGAAUCUGAGGGAGCUGGCCUGCUCUUACAAGAGGAUUCUUGGGGUGCUGUGAACCUCUUGGAUUUCCAUGUCUUCCUCCAUCCCACCCCCCACCUUCAGUGGGUCUCUAGCUUCUGUGCUGUGGGCCUGGAGAUCCGUUUCCUAAUGGAGGAAUCCUGUGAACACUCUUCAAAAGCCAGCAGGGUCCAACCCUUUGCAGAAUCUUUGGACUGGGCUUUUAGGGUCGUAUUCUGGAUACAGAAUGGAUUUUUCUGUUGCAGCUUGCAAGCAGCCACUUCCUUUUUUCUCUCUCCCUUGGCAUUUUGCAGGCAAGUCCUGGCAAGAUUUGAGUUGAGGGUGGAAUCUGGGCCAGGAACGGUAGAGUGCAAAGGCAUGCAAGUCAAGUAGGCCAGAAAGAAGAGAAGCAAUAGGAAGCAAGAGGCAAGUAAUAGCAAAGGUCCUAUGUAGACAUUGUCAGUUAAGCACACACAGAGAGAGGAUAAUCUCUGGCUUUUGCCCCUUCUGCUGUAGGAUGUAACUUCCCAGGCCAUUGCUGCAGACCAUACAUGAUUAUUUGGACCUAUGUGCUGUGUACAGAUCCCAAAGGCACAAAUGUUUUGCCGUAAGGGAGGAAUGACUUGCAUGUUGAAAUUAGCAGUUGGUCGCCAAACAUGGAGACAUCUGGUCUUCCAGAUGUUGAACUACAGGUCACAUCAUUCAUGACUGCUUUCCAUGCUUGCUGGGGCUGAGAGAGGCUAGAGAGACCCCAGACAUCUAGAAUACCACAAGUUCCCUACCCUGGGUACAAUGACGUGCUCUUCAAAGAUGCUGCCUCCUCAGUGGUUUACUUGGGAUCUAUCAAGGAGUGGUAGUUGGAGAAGGAUCUUCUCCUAGAUCCACUCCUUCUGGAAGAUGGCCUUAAUAGAAUGCGGGUGACCAUAUUAAUCCCUGGUGUGCAUCGUUUUUUAGCUGAGCCAGGGAGAGGUUGAUGGGGUGGCAGGUCAGUUGGCAAAAGAGCACAUUACUUCAGUGUCACGUAUAAGAAGAGGGCGCUUCAGAUAAGUGUAAAGUCCUGCACUAGAGUAGUGGUGGUGUGGUGUAAAGCAGGGUCUCCAGCUAUUUUUGGACUACAGCUCCCAUCAUGCCUAGCUAGCAGGACCAGUGGUCAGGGAUGAUGGAAAUUGUAGUCCCAAAACAGCUGGGGACCCAAGUUUGGGAAGGUAGCUGUACCAUCUUAAGUGCCUCUGACUCAGCCCCCUUGUCCUGUUUGGGGAUCUGGCAGAGUUGGAGAAGGUUUGGAAAAGGGCAGACAAAGUGAUCCAGAGGAUGGAGAGAGGACCCCCCCCCCCAUGAAGGAAGGUUGCAGUGUUUGGGACGUCAUGGUUUAUAGAAAAUGUGAGUAAAAGGUGACAUGAUAGAAGUUCCUAAGAUGAUACAUAGCAUGGAGAAAGUGAAUAGAGAAAGGUUUUUCUCCCUCAAAACGCCAGAUCAGGGGACAUCCCGUGAAGCUGAAUGUUGGAAGAUUCGGGGCAGAUAAAUUCCUUCAUGCAGUACAUAUUUAAAGCUAUGAAACUUGCUAUCAAAGGAGACAGUCAUGGCCACCAACCUAGAUGCUUAUAAAAGAGGAUUGGAUGACUUCAUGGAGGAGGGGGACUACAUUUCAACAUUUUCUUUAAAAGAAAUUUUCCAAAAAAAAAUAAAUCAGCAUUUU